GGCGGCGCAUGCGCGGCCCGCGGGCUACCCGGCUCCGCCCCGCGCGCACUAUUUAAUCCCAGAAUCCCUCUGUGUCGCACCAAACGGCCGCAUAGUUCCGAGGCUGCGGAGGCCGGGCGCGGUGGCGUCAAGAUGGCGGCUGCGGCAGUGGCGGCGGCGGCGGCGGCGGCCGCGGCUGCAUCUCUUCAGGUGCUGGAGAUGGAGAGCAUGGAGACGGCCGCUGCCGGCUCGGCAGGCCUGGCCGCCGAGGUCCGAGGCAGCGGCACGGUGGACUUCGGGCCUGGGCCAGGGAUCUCUGCAAUGGAGGCGAGCGGGGGCGAUCCGGGCCCAGAAGCCGAGGAUUUCGAGUGCAGCUCUCACUGUUCAGAGCUGUCCUGGCGGCAGAACGAGCAGCGACGCCAGGGCCUCUUCUGCGACAUUACCCUGUGCUUCGGCGGGGCUGGAGGCCGCGAGUUCCGGGCCCACCGCUCGGUACUGGCUGCCGCCACCGAGUACUUCACGCCCCUGCUCUCGGGCCAGUUUUCCGAGUCCCGCUCGGGACGGGUGGAGAUGCGCAAGUGGAGCUCCGAGCCGGGGCCCGAACCCGACACUGUGGAAGCCGUUAUCGAGUACAUGUACACCGGGCGCAUCCGCGUCAGCACGGGCAGCGUGCACGAGGUGCUGGAGUUGGCCGACAGGUUCCUACUCAUUCGUUUAAAAGAAUUUUGUGGAGAAUUUCUCAAGAAAAAACUUCAUCUCUCAAAUUGUGUGGCAAUUCAUAGCUUAGCCCACAUGUACACCCUGAGCCAACUUGCUUUGAAGGCUGCUGAUAUGAUACGGAGAAAUUUCCACAAAGUGAUUCAGGAUGAAGAAUUUUAUACAUUACCUUUCCAUCUCAUUAGAGACUGGCUUUCAGAUUUGGAAAUUACAGUUGAUUCUGAAGAGGUUCUCUUUGAAACCGUUUUGAAAUGGGUUCAGAGAAAUGCUGAAGAGAGAGAGAGAUACUUUGAAGAACUUUUUAAAUUGCUCAGGUUGUCCCAGAUGAAACCUACCUACCUUACUCGACAUGUCAAACCAGAGAGGCUGGUAGCCAAUAAUGAAGUUUGUGUCAAGUUGGUGGCUGACGCAGUGGAGAGACAUGCUCUGAGAGCUGAGAAUAUACAAUCGGGCACAUGCCAGCACCCCACUUCUCAUGUCUCACUAUUGCCUCGUUAUGGGCAAAACAUGGAUGUGAUCAUGGUUAUUGGAGGUGUGUCAGAAGGAGGGGACUAUUUAAGUGAAUGUGUGGGGUAUUUUGUUGAUGAGGACAGAUGGGUAAACCUGCCACAUAUUCAUAAUCACCUCGAUGGACAUGCUGUUGCAGUAACAGAAUCCUACGUGUAUGUUGCUGGAUCAAUGGAGCCAGGGUUUGCUAAAACUGUUGAAAGGUAUAACCCAAAUUUGAAUACUUGGGAACAUGUUUGUAGUCUGAUGACAAGAAAGCAUUCUUUUGGACUAACAGAAGUCAAAGGGAAGCUCUAUAGCAUUGGAGGACAUGGCAACUUUAGUCCUGGUUUUAAAGAUGUGACUGUUUAUAAUCCUGAGCUUGAUAAAUGGCACAACUUGGAAUCGGCACCAAAGAUUCUUCGAGAUGUCAAAGCACUAGCCAUUGAAGACCGGUUUGUAUACAUUGCCGCCCGCACUCCUGUAGACCGGGACACUGAAGAUGGAUUAAAGGCUGUAAUUACUUGCUAUGAUACAGAGACUCGACAGUGGCAAGAUGUGGAAUCUUUGCCCCUUAUUGACAAUUACUGCUUUUUCCAAAUGUCUGUGGUCAAUUCAAACUUUUAUCAGACAGCAUCAUGUUGUCCCAAGAGUUAUUGUUUAGAAAACGAAGAAGCAGUAAGAAAAAUUGCCAGCCAAGUGUCUGAUGAGAUCCUUGAAAGCUUGCCUCCAGAAGUUCUAAGCAUUGAAGGAGCAGCCAUUUGCUAUUACAAAGAUGAUGUCUUCAUUAUAGGAGGCUGGAAAAACAGUGAUGAUAUUGAUAAACAGUAUCGGAAAGAAGCCUACCGAUACUGUGCUGAGAGGAAGAGGUGGAUGCUUCUUCCUCCUAUGCCACAACCUCGUUGUAGAGCCACUGCUUGUCACGUGCGGAUCCCAUACCGGUACUUGCAUGGCACACAGAGGUAUCCUAUGCCUCAAAACCUGAUGUGGCAGAAGGACCGCAUCAGACAGAUGCAAGAGAUACAUCGUCACGCCCUGAACAUGCGGCGAGUGCCAAGCUCUCAGAUAGAAUGCUAGGUUCUCUCAAGCGUGCCAAUUAAAACUGUUAUACCCGUUUCGUGAAGCUGAAGAUAUCCAGGCUGUUACUUGAAAAACAGGCAGCCUAGGCCACGGCUGAAAAGAAGGGGUAAGUCCUUCAUUGCAUGAUGAUGUGUGCAGGUUUUCCUGAAUUUCUAAUUUUUAUAUUUGAAUUCACAUGUGUAAUUUCACAUCAAUAACUUGUGUUUCUGAAAUAUCCUAACUAACUUGUUAAUGAGGAAAGAAACCAGAUUUGCUUAAAUCUGUUCAAGGCUGACAUUCUGAAAUUCUUAACUGGAAAUAACUUCCCAGAGUAUUUGGAAAGGUUCUAAUUACAAGGAUUAGGCCUAAAAUAGCUCCUUGGGAAAGAAGUUUCCUUGUUGAUGAGAAAACUUAAAAGAUUCUUUUUGGUAAUGUAAGCAGUUAAAAAUAUGACUUUAGCAAGACAGCUUAAUGCGUAUUCAAGCAAACCUUUGUUUUGUUGCUUUCCUUUUGUUUGUAGAAGAGAGAGGAAGUCAUUAUACCAAAAAGUAAUAGUUACAUAACUUUGAGUGAGGCUACUUACAUCUUUUUUUUUUUUUUUUUUGGAGACGGAGUCUCGCUCUGUCGCCCAAGCUGGAGUGCAGUGGCGCGAUCCUGGCUCACUGCAAGCUCCACCUCCUGGGUUCACGCCAUUCUCCUGCCUCAGCCUCCCGAGUAGCUGGAACUACAGGCGCCCACCACCGCGCCCGGCUCAUUUUUUGUAUUUUUUUAGUAGAGACGGGGUUUCACCAUGGUCUCGAUCUCCUGCCCUUGUGAUCCGCCCGCCUCGGCCUCCCAAAGUGCUGGGAUUACAGGCGUGAGCCACCGCGCCCGGCCUACUUACAUCUUAGAAUGGGUAUCCUUGAACUAUAUCUACCGCACCAUGGCUUAAAAAAAAAAUCAGUGGUAUAUAUUGAGAAUGUCAGUCAUGAGCUUAGUGUUUAAGUAACACAUCCCACUUACAGUUGUUUGCAUGAUUAGUCUUGUGUAUCAUGAUAUUCAACUUUGCGUUUGCUGUGCCAGUUCAAAAAUAACUUUUUUGCUAAAAACUCUUAAAAUUCAUGACAUAAGUUUUGUUUUGAUCACCUGGUUUUAUAUAGUAUUUCUGGGACCAAAAAAUUUAAAUAUACCUUUUUAAUAUAGAACAGAAGUUUGAAGCUGGGAAGAUAGUGUUUAUGGAAGAUUUGUGUGUUUUUGUUUUUUUAAACCCGUCAGGCUGCUGGUAAGGCAGUUUCUAGGGCUAACUUUUCCUCCUUACCUCUUGACUAGUGUAGCAUGUGGUAUGUUUAAAAUACUUCAUUUUCUGCUUUGUAAUUCUAAUAUCAACACUACACUGUAUGUAGACAGGUGAGCUGAAUGGUAUGUUUUAGUUAUUUGGUCUAAUCAAGCAUAACUAAAGGGACUUCUUUUUUGGUACUUUUCUCAAAUUAAGUUUAAAUAUAGUAUACUGGCCACAUUUCAUGUCUUUGAAAGUUUACAUUACUGUAAACCAAGUACUCUGUCUACACCAGAGGGUGCUUUAACUAUAAAAUAUUUGAGAAACAAUUCAGUCUCUCCUGAACUCUCAAACAUUUUGGCACAGUUCAUCACUCCAGUUUGUUACUUUCUUGAGAAUAGUCCUUUUUUGUUUUUGUUAUUAUAACGUAUGUUCUGGUCAUUGGAAACAGAACAGCUCAUAGUUGAGUGAUGUAAUAUAAUAACAGUAAUAUAACCUAGUAGUCAUUUUGCUUCAAGGAAUUUAAUUAGAUAGCAAAAUCACUGCUGUUUAUUACAUUUGUAGGGCUUUUUGUCUUACUCAGUGACCAUCACUACGAAUGUCUUACAUUGAAGCACAGACUGCAGAGCACUUGUUAACUUAAUCCUCCUGCAUAAUGCACUCGUGAAAAGUAGUGCUUGCUAGGUGUUUGAAGAUUUUAUGAUCCAUGUGCUUGGGCUCGUUGAGUUAUUUGUAAAAUAAACAUUUAGUUUGAGUUGAUGCAGUGAGUUUUUUGGGCUAGUAGUAUCCAGGUCCCUACUCUACUGAAAAUGUAAUCUUCACUAUUUCCCUUUAAGUCAGAGGAGAUGUAGUAGUUAGAACACCUUGAGACAUUACAUUGUAAAAUAGCUCAUUUUAUGUUCCUGAAGCUAUCUUGUUCUCUGUUAAAGCUACUAAUUGUCUCAGUGUAAGUUUUAAAUAAAUAUAUUUCUUUAAAGCUGG